AUUGAACGCUGGCGGCAUGCCUUACACAUGCAAGUCGAACGGCAGCACGGGUGCUUGCACCUGGUGGCGAGUGGCGAACGGGUGAGUAAUACAUCGGAACAUGUCCUGUAGUGGGGGAUAGCCCGGCGAAAGCCGGAUUAAUACCGCAUACGAUCUACGGAUGAAAGCGGGGGACCUUCGGGCCUCGCGCUAUAGGGUUGGCCGAUGGCUGAUUAGCUAGUUGGUGGGGUAAAGGCCUACCAAGGCGACGAUCAGUAGCUGGUCUGAGAGGACGACCAGCCACACUGGGACUGAGACACGGCCCAGACUCCUACGGGAGGCAGCAGUGGGGAAUUUUGGACAAUGGGGGAAAGCCUGAUCCAGCAAUGCCGCGUGUGUGAAGAAGGCCUUCGGGUUGUAAAGCACUUUUGUCCGGAAAGAAAUCCUUGGCCCUAAUACGGUCGGGGGAUGACGGUACCGGAAGAAUAGGCACCGGCUAACUACGUG
rnacentral:rRNA from 1 species